rnacentral:rRNA from 1 species
UCGAGAAUCUUCCGCAAUGUGCGCAAGCAUGACGGAGCGACGCCGCGUGGGCGAUGAAGGCCUUCGGGUUGUAAAGCCCUGUUAGCUACGAUGAAACGCGGGUGGUGAACAACUAUCCCGCUUGACGUAAGUAGCAGAGGAAGCGCCGGCUAACUACGUGCCAGCAGCCGCGGUAAUACGUAGGGUGCGAACGUUGUUCGGAAUCACUGGGCAUAAAGGGCGCGUAGGCGGUCCUGCAAGUCAAGUGUGAAAUCCCUCGGCUUAACCGAGGAACCGCACUUGAUACUGCAGGGCUAGAGUGCAGGAGGGGAGAGCGGAAUUCCUGGUGGAGCGGUGAAAUGCGUAGAUAUCAGGAGGAACGCCGGUGGCGAAAGCGACUCCCUGGUCUGCAACUGACGCUGAGGCGCGAAAGCUAGGGGAGCAAACGGGAUUAGAUACCCCGGUAGUCCUAGCCCUAAACGAUGGGUACUAAGUAGGGGGAACUCCGAUGUUCUCUCUGCCGGAGCAAAUGUAUUAAGUACCCCGCCUGGGGAGUAUGGUCGCAAGGCUA